CGAUGGGCAACAGGUUGAUAUUCCUGUACCACAUGAUUCCGCCUGAGCGAUGGGGUGACGCAGGAGGGCAGGGGAAGCGCGCGGCUGGAAGAGCGCGUCCAAGCGGCAAGAGGGGUGGAUAGGCAAAUCCGUCCACCAUGAACCUUGAGCCGUGAUGGGGAGGGAAAUUGGAGUACCGAAGUCCCUGUGCUCACACUGCCAAGAAAAGCCUCUAGCGAGGAAUCAUGUGCCCGUACCGGAAACCGACACAGGUCGGCGGGGUGAGUAACCUCAGGCGCGCGGGAGAACUCUCGUUAAGGAACUCGGCAAAAUGACCCCGUAACUUCGGGAGAAGGGGUGCUUCCUGGGGUGAGGAGCCUCGGGGAGCCGCAGUGACCAGGCCCAAGCGACUGUUUAACAAAAACACAGGUCUCUGCUAAGCCGUAAGGCGACGUAUAGGGGCUGACGCCUGCCCGGUGCUGGAAGGUUAAGGGGAAGGGUUAGCCUUCGGGCGAAGCUCUGAACCGAAGCCCCAGUAAA
rnacentral:ncRNA from 1 species